GCCUAACACAUGCAAGUCGAACGGAAUGGGGGGCUUGCUCCUCAUUUAGUGGCGCACGGGUGAGUAACGCGUAGAUAAUCUGCCUAAUGAUCUGGGAUAACACUUCGAAAGGGGUGCUAAUACCGGAUAAGCCCACGAUGGCCUUGGUCGUUGCGGGAAAAGGGGGGGACCUUCGGGCCUUCUGUCGUCAGAUGAGUCUGCGUACCAUUAGCUAGUUGGUAGGGUAAUGGCCUACCAAGGCUUCGAUGGGUAGCUGGUCUGAGAGGACGAUCAGCCACACUGGCACUGCGACACGGGCCAGACUCCUACGGGAGGCAGCAGUAAGGAAUAUUGCGCAAUGGGCGAAAGCCUGACGCAGCGACGCCGCGUGGGGGAUGAAGGUCUUCGGAUUGUAAACCCCUUUCGGGAGGGAAGAUGGAACGAGCAAUCGUUCGGACGGUACCUCCAGAAGCAGCCACGGCUAACUUCGUGCCAGCAGCCGCGGUAAUACGAAGGUGGCAAGCGUUAUUCGGAUUUACUGGGCGUACAGGGAGCGUAGGCGGUUCGGUAAGCCCUCUGUGAAAUCUCCAGGCUUAACCUGGAACAGUCGGAGGGGACUGCUGGGCUAGAGGACGGGAGAGGAGCGCGGAAUUCCCGGUGUAGCGGUGAAAUGCGUAGAGAUCGGGAGGAAGGCCGGUGGCGAAGGCGGCGCUCUGGAACGUAUCAGACGCUGAGGCUCGAAAGCGU
rnacentral:rRNA from 1 species